rnacentral:rRNA from 1 species
GACGAAGGGGGCUAGCGUUGUUCGGAAUUACUGGGCGUAAAGCGCACGUAGGCGGAUAUUUAAGUCAGGGGUGAAAUCCCAGAGCUCAACUCUGGAACUGCCUUUGAUACUGGGUAUCUUGAGUAUGGAGGAGGUAAGUGGAAUUGCGAGUGUAGAGGUGAAAUUCGUAGAUAUUCGCGGGAACACCAGUGGCGAAGGCGGCUUACUGGUCCAUAACUGACGCUGAGGUGCGAAAGCGUGGGGAGCAACAGG